GCUUGCUACCUAAACUAAGACAAGAAUGAAAGCAUUUACAAUCUGGCACUAUUGAAGAAAACUUAAAACAGCUAAAGAAACCUCAGCAUAAAUUGUCAUUUGUGGGAUAGAUUUGCACCAGUUGGAGUAAUACUAAGUAACUUAAUGAAGAAAAGAAUUAAUGUAGGUUAAGCAUGUGAUAGUCUAAUGCUCAGUGAUUUUUUUUAUUAAUUUUAAUAUCUUUCUGAUGCUCAUCUUAAAUCUUGAUGGAAUUGCAUUCCUAGAAUCUCUGAUAAAACUUGUAUGUACAUACCUAGUGAAAAGUGCCUAUGUUGCCUUCUUACUGAAGAUGGCCAUUGUAACCCUAAGUUAAGGAAAAGACCCAGGUUUUCUGUCAUGACUUGUAAUUGGGAAACACAUAUUUUGCAAGUCAGAAGUCUAAUGUUCGAAAAUUUUUCCUAAAAAUUGUUCCAUAUUUGUCCACUGUGUUUGUGUGCAUAUGUCAAUAAUACAUUAAUUACAUAAAUGAAUUUUCAUGCAAUAAGAAACUACUUCAAGCUCUUCUAUAUAGCAUCUUUUUAACAGGGGGUAACUUUCAGAUAUUUUAUGUGUUAUUUUAGUUCAAAGAAAGAAAUCCAAUAUUGAAAUGACAAGAAAAUGAACUACAGAUCUUUAUAUGUUUUAACACUAAGAUCUAUGCUUUAUCUGUCUCUCUUCAGGUUUUUGUUGACUUUACAAUCUGAUGAAUCAUGAAUUCUUAACUUUUUUUUUCCAGUUGGCCUCGAUGGUUGAUUUUUUAUUCAUAAAGUUCAUAAAAACAGAUGUAGUAGCAUUUUAGCAUAUAUUUAUUUGGAAUAUGUUAAACAGUUGCUUAAUGUUGAAUUCAUCAGCUAUGACUUGUGCACAUGUGAGAUUUGGGAGCCACAGUUUAUGUUUAUGUUAUUUAAAUGAAUUUAAUGGGAAUAAAAAGUGCAAGGACUAUGCAAGUGUUCUGGGUUAUUCAGCAACGGUAUUAUAAUAAGCCAAAGCUUGAAAUUAAUUAAUUUCCUAACUACCACAAUGAAAUUGUUUUUAAUGAGGAAGCAAUCUGACUUCCAGACAUUCGGAUCCAGCUGUAAUGAAAAUGUGCAGCCUUUCCUAUGUGCGUGAUCACUGAGCAGGAGCACAUCAUUUCCCAAAGCUGUCCAAACCAGUGGUCCCUCUCCCUCAUGAGGUCCCCAUGUGCCACGUGCUGAGCUCUAGGUCAGGCAAGGGAACAGGAGAGAGAGCAUGGUGGCAUUUGUGACUGUACGGAAGCAAAUACUGUGCUGGGGUACUUCUUAUGAUAGCUACAGUACAAUAAUUCUGGAUGCAUGCUAACCUGGACAAACAUAUUAUGCAGUGACAGUGUUAACAUCUGUAUUUUAUUACUUAUGUUACUUCCACAGCAUGUGACUGGGAACGAAAGUGGAAAUACCGGUUUCUGCUCUCACCUUUCCCAAGAUCUAAUUUGUAAGCCAACUUUCUUUAAAAUAUUCAGAGACAGGAGAGAUGAUGCAAUGAGUACAUCAUCACAUGCCCAUCCCAAAAGGAAGACAAUUAUGAAUUUCAAGUGCAAAAACUUUCCUACUGUCCUACUGACUGAAAAGGAGAAAACAACAAUUUUAUAAAGAGAGGAGAGGCUACUAAGAGAAUUGUAUCUAUUUUCCUGGAAGGACUACAAAGAUUGACAAAUAUUUUUGUAAAGCAAUUUAGACCUACGGUGGCACUUUUUCAAAAGCAAUUCUGUGUAGAAUAGACUGAAAUGGACAUCGCUGUGGCAAUCAUGGUUGUUCACAAAACAUGAGUUCUGGAGAGCUGAGUGGCUAUCUGUUCCAGGAAGGUAGUGAUAGUGAAGAGUGGUCUAGCAGUUUCAAAGGAAGGUGAAAUUAUAUGAACAUGUGGAUGAGUGGCAGAGACAGUGGAGGUGAGUUUUAAACAAAAGCAGGAAAAAACGUUGGGCACAUUGCUAAAUCAGGAGGGGGGGAAAGAGGGUUUUAGCAGCAUAUUGUGCAGUUCUAUGCAAUGCAUUUUGAAGAUGUUUAUAAGUCAGAAUAGUGGAAUUUAGUCUAAUGGAGAGUUGCAGAGAACUGCAGCUGCCAGGAGGGCACUUUCAAUUGUGUGUACGCAGAGUGUUAGGAAGAGUUGCAGGAAUGGGACAAAAUAAAUGGUGUGAUACAAUACUGAUGUGGACUUGAGAUUUCUCAGUACAGAAACAAAAAGGAUUCUCUGUCUGCAAGUGAUCGUGCUUCUAGUUUCAUGCUGUGGGUCUGCUGUCAUCCGCUGUGAUUUGUUCAGCAAUUGGAAGAAAAAAAUUCUUUACAGGUAUUUCUUCUAGGAUAUGAUCACAGUCCCAUUCUCAUACUUAGCAAAUGAAUGCAAAGGGUGGAGCAUUCUGAUGUUUCAGUUCUUUUGAACUUCCCAAUGAGGCUUCUUUUUUUCUGCUGUUUCCCGACUGCCUAGAUAUGUUUUCAAUGUUUUGGAUCAUAUUCUUCAAGCGGUCUGUUAGCGCGCUCUUUGUUUAUCCUUUCUUUAAUGUUGCUGGAUCACCUUCACUGGUACUGGCCAGAACCAGUCUGACUUGUCUCAGUAGAGGGUGGCCUCAUCUUUGUUACUAGUUUUCGCACUUGCAUCCUCACCAUAUUUAGUGUGGGGAGGAUGUCACUGUACCCAAACUUCCUCUCUUGACCUCCUGAAGGAUGUCUUAGCUACCAGCACCUUUACCUAGAACUGGGUUGUGGCACUAAUGUGGCAGCAUUCUCUCUUCAACACUUCAUUUCACCCUGGUGCCAGCUUGCCUGGUACAGGUUCCCUCUCAGUGACAUAAGGUAAGAAGGUGCCUGCUCCCUUAACUCCAUGUGCCAGGAGGCUAAGCAGCAGCACAGCCUUUUCUCUCUUACUAUCCAUGCCAGAAAACAACUACAGAUAUAGGCACCCUAUAGAGACAGUAACAUGUUACCACCCCACCCCGAUUGCAUAGUGCUGGAGCCAUCUCAGUGUUCCCCACGCUUAUUUAUUUAUUUAUUUAUUUAUUUAUUUAUUUAUUUUGACAGGGCUAGACAUUGCCUCUUGCUUUUCCAUCUUUCAGUGUUGAAAGAAGUUUGACAAUUUCACUUAACCAGAACCUAACAUGUGGAGACUAGAAGCUCAGGAUUUUGGUAGUUGGCACUCCUGUAUUCAUAGCCAUGAAAACAUGAAGGUUUUGUAAUCUUCCAGAGAAGCAGGGUCUCUAUCUACAGAAAAUACAGAAAUAGCUACUUCUGUAGCCUUUCCUAUCUAUUGCUGUGAAGCCCUUUAUCGGAGGGCUAGUGAAGGGGGCUAGCUCAUCUCAUAAAUAAGGUAUCCAUGUUUCAUACAAAGACAACUAGUUGGUACAGAUCACAUCACACUUUGAGAGGCUGUAACAAAAUGAGCACUAGGUAGUUGCAUCUUCUCUCCAAUUAAUAUUUACAAUUAAUGGAAGUAAGGAGUCUGGAGAGGAGAACCUUUCUUGGUAAAGCUUUGUUUGUAUCUUCAGAGUUCUGUAUAUUUGGACUUGACAGUGUGUGGCUGACUCACCAACGGCGUGAAAUGUUUCUUACCUCUUCCCAGACGUACGGCAUUACGUACUUGUGUGAUACCUCCAGCUGUAGUCAGGCUGGUAGCGCACAGGGCUCUGACAGAUUUCUCAUCUGCUUAUGAAUGCUUAGGAUUUGAGGAUUCUCACAAUGUGCUUACAUACAGAUAAAAAAAAAAAAUAU